GUUGUGAUUUGCUUUCAUUUUAGUAUCUUUGAACCAUUGGAAACAGC
rnacentral:other from 1 species